ACUUUGAAGGUGAAAAAAGCUUAAUCCUAGUAUACGGUGCACAUGAGAGUUGGCGAAAUUGGGGUUUAAGAGACUAAUAAGCGCGCCAACUGUGGUAACCAAGCCGAUUUUGAUGCUCUGCAGGAGAGUGCAUUUGGGAGCAUUUUCGCGCAUGCUCAUUAAAUACUUUAAAUUGAGAAGUUUUGAUUGGUGCAGAUGGAAGAGAAGAAUUAUUUCAAACCAUUGUUUGAAGUUCCGUUAAUCUUCGGUCUUCGGCUGAACUGAAUGAGAAAGGAUAACGUAUGUUCAGGUAUGUGAUCUUAGAAGUGACUAUGUGAAUAAUACAAGAUUAAACUAAAACUUAGGCACUUUGUGAUGACAAAACAACUUCGCCCAAUCCUGUCCCAAUUCUCACUGGAAAUAUCCUACAAGAUGGAAAAAAAGGAGUCUAUAUCUCUCCCCCCCCCCAAGAAACUGCAUCUCAUUGGGAUUUCUGCUUGAUUUUUAAAUACUCCUGUGCUAUCAUUUGAAUCAUUUUGCAUCAUGUUGCCACAUGUUUCGUCUUCUCUUUCCAUGCAAUCUUUUUGCACUGUAACAUCUUUACCCCAAUCACUGCUCAGGACUGAUAGAAUGACUUUCCGGCUACAAAAAGGACAAAAUGAAUAUGCAUUGCUUUUUCUCACCUGGCUGCUGCUUGAAUAAACCACGUCUCUCGCUUCACCACCCUCUUUCUUCAUCUAAGAUAAAGCUAUGAUUUAUUUUCCCUAGUCGUCACCUAUAACGGCUGUGGCUAAACAGUGACUUAAUUUAAUUUUUUGAAAAAACUACAAGAUCAUAUAUAAAAUAUAUAUGUGUAAGAUGAAUUGGAGUAAGGUGCAACAGACUGAUGAUGGCUCUCUACAUUAUAUUCUAGGCAGACUUUAGUGCUUCAUUAGAAAGACAACAUUCGAAGGGAAGACUUGUAGACAGACAUGGCCAAAUUGAAUAUAACUGGUGGAUAUGAACUAAUUAUCAAAAACAUCUCUUUCAUUCACACAUGAUCAUGGGUGCAAUAUGCACCCCAAAAUUUUAUAUAGAGAGAAUCACAAUUUAGAUAAUGGCAUAGUAUUAGUAGCACAACAAAGCAAACGGUGUGCAGUAGCAUCUUGAUUGCAGGACAGCUGAAGCUAAAAGUGCACAAUUAUCCAAUAUGGAAGCUUACCAAGAGAAGAUUUUGAUUUAGAUUAGAAAGGUUUCAGUUCUCAAAAUUUUGAGUUCAGAUACCGAGUUAGCUAUGUCAUCAGCAUUAUGCAAGCCAUGCAAGAUGGACUGAUCUAGAAAUGAUGCAGUCUAAAAAGGUUAAGACUUUUUAGAAUAGAGAGAAAGAAUUAUGGGGUUUUGAUUUACAUACUUUUUAUCUUGCAUAUAUGUAUGUAUACUAGUUGUAGAAUUUUAAUAUUGCUAUAACAUUAAUUAAUGAGCUUACUUUUAAUUGCCUAUUUCUGAUAUAUUUUUAAGUAAACAUAAGAUAAUAAAUAAUACAUGAAUGCAUAUAUCAUCUAUGUGUUUAAGUACAUGUGAUUUUACAUGCUCUGUAUUUAAUGGUCAUUUUGCCAAACAGUAUCCAUCGGCUGUAAAAAUGUACAUAUUGACUACAUAAAUUUUUUUCCCUUUAA
rnacentral:lncRNA from 1 species